rnacentral:rRNA from 1 species
UACGUAGGGUCCGAGCGUUAAUCGGAAUUACUGGGCGUAAAGCGUGCGCAGGCGGUUUUGUAAGCCAGAUGUGAAAUCCCCGGGCUUAACUUGGGAACUGCAUUUGGGACUGCAAAGCUGGAGUACGGCAGAGGGAGGUGGAAUUCCACGUGUAGCAGUGAAAUGCGUAGAGAUGUGGAGGAACACCGAUGGCGAAGGCAGCCUCCUGGGCUAGUACUGACGCUCAUGCACGAAAGCGUGGGGAGCAAACAGG